GGGUUACAUUAAACUAACAUGUAUCAUGGUUAUGCUGAAUGAUAGUGACUGCUGUCCUGACAUGUUGUUGUAUUGUUUAUCUCUUUAUAGAAAAGGCUAAUCUAAUACGUGAGAAGGUAAGUGUUGUUACUGGUUUGAUACAGAACACAAUAAUAUGUGUGACCCUAGCUGGCAGUGGUGGAGUUAUUAGAUGAUGACCUUGUAAUGAACCCAAUGUUGAUAUUUUAUUUACAUUUUUAUUUUUUAGCAAAAGAAAAAACGGAAACUGGAUAGGGAGUUAACUGAUUAUAAAGUAUGCAGCCGAAAACGGCAAUCGAGCAACAGAAAGAAAGUUUGGGGUGAGUGAAAAACUUGUCCGGGACUGGCGAAAAGCCGAGGAAACUCUAAUUGCGAUGAAAAAAACAAAGAAAGCUAACCGGGGGCUGAAAGCCCGAUGGCCAGAGCUGGAGGAACGAGUCCACAGAUGGGUCAUUGAACAGCGUGCUGCUGGCCGGGGCUUAUCAACGGUGCAGUUGCUUCUCCAUGCCUUCAUGUCUUCAUGUCUUCAUUCACUUUUUGGCUUGUUAUGUUUAUAUAUAGCCUAUAUUGCUAUUGCAAUUUUAUUCAGUCUCUCCAGACUAAACGUUCUUGUUUAAAUGUUUAAAAAUAAAUGCGACUUAUACACCGUUGCGACGUAUAUAUGUUUUUUUCCUCGUCAUGGAGCAUUUUUUGACUUAUGCGACUAAUACUCGGGAGCGACGUAUAGUCCGGAAAAUACGGUAGUCAUCAAUUUAAAUAUAUGGAGAAGUUCCUACUGAUAGGAUGGAUACGUUUAAUAAUAUCAGCCAUAGUCCUGGGAGGUAAGGGUUGGAUUGAACUCUAACAUGUAUCAUGUUUCAUUAAACUAACAUUUUUCGUGUUAAAUUAACGUGCCCAAAUCCGUUUGACACCUGUACCGUACUCAAGUACGAUACAGGUGUACCCCCCCCCCCCCAUGCUGUGCCGCUGGUCUGUGCUCACACUAGGCAAUCUCAACUGGACCUGAGUACGGUUGCCCCUUGUACAUACGUCAUCACCAGGCCUCUGAUCAGAGGCAGUAUAGGUGAAUGCUACGGGCGCAUCCAUCCAC
ensembl:lncRNA